rnacentral:rRNA from 1 species
UACGAAGGGGGCUAGCGUUGCUCGGAAUUACUGGGCGUAAAGCGCACGUAGGCGGCUUUCUAAGUCGGAGGUGAAAUCCUGGAGCUCAACUCCAGAACUGCCUUCGAUACUGGAGAGCUCGAGUCCGGGAGAGGUGAGUGGAACUGCGAGUGUAGAGGUGAAAUUCGUAGAUAUUCGCAAGAACACCAGUGGCGAAGGCGGCUCACUGGCCCGGUACGUGACGCUGAGGUGCGAAAGCGUGGGGAGCAAACAGG